ACAUCCAGAGAAUUUAGCAGAGAUGCUUUAGUGCCUUCGGGAACUCUGAGACAGGUGCUGCAUGGCUGUCGUCAGCUCGUGUUGUGAAAUGUUGGGUUAAGUCCCGCAACGAGCGCAACCCUUUAUCCUUUGUUGCCAGCACGUAAUGGUGGGAACUCAAAGGAGACUGCCGGUGAUAAACCGGAGGAAGGUGGGGAUGACGUCAAGUCAUCAUGGCCCUUACGAGUAGGGCUACACACGUGCUACAAUGGCGCAUCAAAGAGAAGCGACCUCGCGAGAGCAAGCGGACCUCAUAAAGUGCGUCGUAGUCCGGAUUGGAGUCUGCAACUCGACUCCAUGAAGUCGGAAUCGCUAGUAAUCGUAAAUCAGAAUGUUACGGUGAAUACGUUCCCGGGCCUUGUACACACCGCCCGUCACACCAUGGGAGUGGGUUGCAAAAGAAGUAGAUAGCUUAACCUUCGGGAGGGCGUUUACCACUUUGUGAUUCAUGACUGGGGUGAAGUCGUAACAAGGUAAGCGUAGUGCU
rnacentral:rRNA from 1 species